rnacentral:rRNA from 1 species
CCUACGGGAGGCAGCAGUGAGGAAUAUUGGUCAAUGGGCGCGAGCCUGAACCAGCCAAGUCGCGUGAGGGAAGACGGCCCUACGGGUUGUAAACUUCUUUUCUCAGGGACGAAGCAAGUGACGGUACCUGAGGAAUAAGCCACGGCUAACUACGUGCCAGCAGCCGCGGUAAUACGUAGGUGGCAAGCGUUAUCCGGAUUUACUGGGUGUAAAGGGCGUGUAGGCGGGAAAGCAAGUCAGAUGUGAAAACCAUGGGCUCAACCUGUGGCCUGCAUUUGAAACUGUUUUUCUUGAGUACUGGAGAGGCAGACGGAAUUCCUAGUGUAGCGGUGAAAUGCGUAGAUAGUAGGAGGAACACCAGUGGCGAAGGCGGUCUGCUGGACAGCAACUGACGCUGAGGCGCGAAAGCGUGGGGAGCAAACAGGAUUAGAUACCCUUGUAGUC